rnacentral:rRNA from 1 species
GCCAGCAGCCCUCUCACCCUGCAGCUCACAGCUGGCAGCCCCACUGGAGCUCAGCAGGUGUGAGCCUGGUCAGUACCUGGAUAGGAGACCUCCUGGGAAAAACUUAGGUUGCUGCUGGAA